rnacentral:tmRNA from 1 species
GGGGAUGUCAGGUUUCGACAGGGCUCAGGAGCCGGAGAUCGCAAGCCGAGGUGCCUCCAGGCCUCGUAAAACAGGAGGCAAAGCCAGUAACUGGCGACAAUAGUUACGCUCUCGCUGCCUAAACACCAGUGAGCGCAACGCAGCCUCAUCCCGCCGGGCUGCGGACGCGUCAUCAGGCGGGAUGCGGGAUCGGUCGACGCCGAUGCACCGGUCCCAAAGAGCCGAGAGGCAGAUCGGCUAGCGACGGACACACCCCGCCGGUCGGGGGUCCCGGAACGAAGCGCCAAGUAGGCCGGAAAUGCUUGUAGGAAGUCUCCGGUGACUCGGUUCUGGACAGGGAGUUCGAUUCUCCCUCAUCUCCACCA